AGAAUCUUCAAAAAAUUUUAUAAACAUCUAGAAGGAAAUUUUAUUUUCCUUUUAGUUGAGUUUUCCUCUACUUUUUUUAACUGAAAAAACACAAGAUCGAGUAUAUAUAAGACGUGAUCAAAAUGUAAUAAUUAACAUAAAGACAUUUACAAAAAAUGUAUCUUUCAAUAAUAGCAAUUUUUGUGCUCUUGUGUAUGUCACUUCUCACAGGAGAAGUCUACGCGUGCGUUCAGAGAAAUGGCAAAUGUCGUAAAAAUUCUCAAUGUUGCAGUAAACGUUGUGGAAAACUUUCUAAGAGAUGUGAUUAAUGGAAGUUUGACAAUUCACCGAAUGGCAGUUUUCGUCCAGAUUUAGUUUUAACAUAAUUUGAUGCUCAGUUAUUUGUGUAAAGUUUCUUGUUACCUCAAUUAUUAUUAAUAAACUAUUAAAAGGUA